ensembl:lincRNA
AUGAUGAAGAGCUCACCUGGAAUGUUGGGGAAUGUGCUUUCUCUCAUCUUCUGGAUCAGAAAAUGUACAAUGUCAAGUUGGAGCAUGGAGUCCAUCAAGACUUCAUCGUGGUGUCCAGCUCCAUGUCCAGAUUCUCCAGGAGAGACCAUUUACCUCCUCUUGUUCAAAAAGACCUAUAAAUCUCAAACUGAAUCAGUGAAAGCUGCAUAAACUGAACUGUCUCUGGAGCAGGAAAAACUGAGGAAUCCUUUAGCCAGGAAUGAAAGGGAAAUAUCUAUGGUGAACGAUUUAGAGAAAGAGGCAGAAAUCCGGAUUUUGAAAUUGCAGCUCUAGAGGUCUUUGUUCUGUCCAUGUGGUGUAGAUCCAGGAAUCUGCUUUUCUACAAACAUGUGAAGUUGUUCUUAAACAGAAGGUCCAAUAAUCCUGGAUUCACAGCCUUGGAGAUUCUCCUUUCUAAUUCUAUACCCUUGCUGUGUGGGACUAGAGAGAGAAUACUUUUGUGUUUCUGCAGUUAAUACUUUCUGAUUCUGUUUUACUGAACUUGAGACCUGGGCUAAAAGGAGUGAAUCCUGGAACUCAAUGAAUGACUGAUUAUCAGUGAGACAGCCCCUGGGGGACUGGAGGGUGUGCUUACAUUCUAAGGGAGGGAUGGGAUCCGGGACCAUAGAGAUGCACCUUUGCUGUAAAGCUGCAGAAGCUGGUCUUAUCUCACCCUGGGAAAAAACUUAUUUUUACUCCAAAUCAUAAGAGUAAAAGCCCAGGCUCCUUCCCAAAGAGCAAAAUAGUGUGAGCACAAUGGCUGCCACUGUCCCAUGUAAUUGCCCAGGUUCAAUUUUCUUUUUCUUUCAGAAUUCCUUGCCUAUAAUACAAACUCCAGUACAUAUGCAGGAGAACAUCUGGUUUUACUUCCAUGCAUCCUUUACCCUAGAGGUAAGAACUAGAGCAAAGGGGAAUCCACAUAGUUAUGUACUAUAAUUAAAUAACGAUCUGCCCUGCUCCAUUAUUCUCACAUUUGCAUUCAAAAUAAUACUAAUAACUAUAGAUAUUUUUAAAAUAAUAGCUUAGGAUAGGAGAUGCGUAACCAGUGCUCAUAGGUUCUAAAAUUUGGGUGGGUCCUUGCAAGUGUCUAGCCUAAUCCUCUUUUUUCCUACAGACCUGGGGGUGGGGGUGAUUUAAUGAUGGAGGACUAGACACUUUAGACAGACCUGAGGUCACUCAACUCAUACGCUACACAGUCAGGACCUGAAACCAGGUACCCUGACACCAGGCCAAUGCUGUCUCUGCCUUCUGCAACUUCUUCCUCCUUCAACGAGCUCCUGAGCAUCACUCCUUCUGCACAGCUGUCCAAAGUGACCACUCUGCUCUCCAAAGCUGCCUACUAUUCACAGAGUUCCUCAAAAAAAAUUGUGAUUAGUAUUAGCUGUUUUCAACUUUCCCUACCCAGAAAAAGUAUCAAUCGGAAGUGAACAAAGAAGAACACAGUAGUUUAAACAGCUGCGAAUUAAAAUUAAUCAUCUGUGUAAAAUCUACCUUUAUUCCGAGUUGUUUAUGUGACCUGAUCCAGAGAGGAAAUAGAGUUUAGUGCAGGAGGGCUGGGUCUGGAGUCAGAGUGCACUUGUUGAAAUCAGGGCUCUGCAGUUCC